GGAAAAACUGCCUUACGAAAUCUCGGCCGCAGAGACAUUUAGGACUUUAAACUGAGUCUGAUCGCUCUCCCUGUGUCCUAUUCUCGUUGGGUUAAGAGUUUCACGAGAUGAGAAAACUGAACACAAAGAGUUGCGGUCACUGGUCCAAGUUGCCACAGCUGCUAAGUGGAUUAACCCAGACAGUCGGCCUCACAGGAUUUUCUGUCAGCAACUUACAUUUCCCCAAGUUUGUAUAUAACAAAUCAUUGAGGACAUACUGUGAGGCAGUCAUUUGCCUACUGUGAACAGAUACAUUCCAGGUUUCUAUCUAAAGCCAAGAAGCAAGGUGACCAACACUGGAAGGCCUCUACACUGUAGCUAUGGCACUUCUCCAAAGCAGAGUGAGUCUCCAAUGGGAUGCAAGACAGAAUUUCUUAAUUGUUUUUUCAGUGACUCUUGUAUAUUCUUAUAAGCUGACAUAGUCAAAUGCUUGUUUUUCAGUUACA